CACCGCGGUUAUACGAGAGGCUCAAGUUGAUGAGACUCGGCGCAAAGGGUGGUUAAGUAAUCUGUAACUAAAGCCAAACACUCCCAAAGCUGUUAUACGCAACCGAGAGUAUGAAGACCUCCUACGAAAGUGGCUUUAAAAAAUCUGACCCCACGAAAGCUAUGAAA
rnacentral:rRNA from 1 species